rnacentral:rRNA from 1 species
AUUGAACGCUGGCGGCAGGCCUAACACAUGCAAGUCGAACGGAGUGGCGGACGGGUGAGUAAUGUCUGGGAAACUGCCUGAUGGAGGGGGAUAACUACUGGAAACGGUAGCUAAUACCGCAUACUAUCAGAUGAGCCUAGGUCGGAUUGGCUAGUUGGUGGGGUAAAGGCCGACCAAGGCGACGAUCCCUAACUGGUCUGAGAGGAUGAUCAGGCACACUGGAACUGAGACACGGUCCAGACUCCUACCGGAGGCAGCAGUGGGGAAUAUUGGACAAUGGGCGAAAGCCUGAUCCCACCAUGCCGCGUGUGUUAAGAAGGUCUUCGGAUUGUAAAGCCCUUUAAGGUGGGAGGCGUUACCAACAGAAUAAGCACCGGCUAACUUCGUGCCAGCAGCCGCGGUAAUUC